rnacentral:rRNA from 1 species
GACGAACCGUGCGAACGUUGUUCGGAAUCAUUGGGCUUAAAGGGCGCGUAGGCGGACAAUCAAGUCAGGGGUGAAAGCCUCCAGCUCAACUGGAGAAGUGCCUUUGAUACUGACUGUCUCGAGGGAGGUAGGGGCAUGUGGAACUUCCGGCGGAGCGGUGAAAUGCGUAGAUAUCGGAAGGAACGCCGGUGGCGAAAGCGGCUUCCUGGUCCGACACCGACGUUCAGGCACGAAAGCGUGGGGAGCAAACAGG